rnacentral:rRNA from 1 species
GGAAUAUUGCACAAUGGGGGGAACCCUGAUGCAGCAACGCCGCGUGAGUGAAGAAGUACCUCGGUAUGUAAAGCUCUAUCAGCAGGGAAGAAAAUGACGGUACCUGACUAAGAAGCACCGGCUAAAUACGUGCCAGCAGCCGCGGUAAUACGUAUGGUGCAAGCGUUAUCCGGAUUUACUGGGUGUAAAGGGAGCGCAGGCGGCGCGGCAAGUCAGAUGUGAAAGCCCGGGGCUCAACCCCGGGACUGCAUUUGAAACUGCCGGGCUAGAGUAUCGGAGAGGCAAGUGGAAUUCCUAGUGUAGCGGUGAAAUGCGUAGAUAUUAGGAGGAACACCAGUGGCGAAGGCGGCUUGCUGGACGAUCACUGACGCUGAGGCUCGAAAGCGUGGGGAGCAAACAG